UUCACUUCUUAGCCUUUUGGCUAAGAUCAAGUAUAAUAUCUGUUCUUAUCAGUUUACUAUCUGAUACAUCCUCUUUCUACAGACAGUAUAUUACAUGAUUUUUGGAGCAGGAAAUGGAAUAGGAGCUUGCUUAAUUCACUCCAUCCAACAGCCUUCUAUUGUAGUAUCUCCAGGAAUGGUGCAACUCCC
ensembl:snRNA U2 U2 spliceosomal RNA